rnacentral:rRNA from 1 species
AGAGUUUGAUCCUGGCUCAGAACGAACGCUGGCGGCAGGCUUAACACAUGCAAGUCGAACGCCCGUAGCGCAAGGGGAGUGGCAGACGGGUGAGUAACGCGUGGGAACGUACCUUUCGCUUCGGAAUAUUCCCGGGAAACUGGGAGCAAUGCCGAAUACGCCGUAUUGGGAAAGAUUUAUCGGCGAAAGAUCGGCCCGCGUUAGAUUAGCUAGUUGGCGGUGUAAUGGACCACCAAGGCUACGAUCUAUAGCUGGUCUGAGAGGAUGAUCAGCCACACUGGGACUGAGACACGGCCCAGACUCCUACGGGAGGCAGCAGUGGGGAAUCUUGCGCAAUGGGCGAAAGCCUGACGCAGCCAUGCCGCGUGAAUGAUGAAGGUCUUAGGAUUGUAAAGUUCUUUCGCCCGUGACGAUGAUGACGGUAACGGGAGAAGAAGCCCCGGCUAACUUCGUGCCAGCAGCCGCGGUAAUACGAAGGGGGCUAGCGUUGCUCGGAAUCACUGGGCGUAAAGCGCACGUAGGCGGAUCUUUAAGUCAGGGGUGAAAUCCCAAGGCUCAACCUUGGAACUGCCUU